UGAGGAAUAUUGCGCAAUGGGGGCAACCCUGACGCAGCGACGCCGCGUGGGUGAGGAAGGUUUUCGGAUCGUAAAGCCCUGUCAGGUGGGAAGAAGUGUUAUACGGUUAAUACCCGUAUAAUUUGACGGUACCACCAGAGGAAGCACCGGCUAACUCCGUGCCAGCAGCCGCGGUAAUACGGAGGGUGCGAGCGUUGUUCGGAAUUACUGGGCGUAAAGGGCGCGUAGGCGGCCUGAUAAGUCAGAUGUGAAAGCCCACGGCUCAACCGUGGAAGUGCAUCUGAAACUGUCUGGCUUGAGUAUUGGAUGGGAAAGUGGAAUUCCAGGUGUAGAGGUGAAAUUCGUAGAUAUCUGGAGGAACACCGGUGGCGAAGGCGACUUUCUGGACAAAUACUGACGCUGAGGCGCGAAAGCGUGGGGAGCAAACA
rnacentral:rRNA from 1 species